UACGUAGGGUGCGAGCGUUAAUCGGAAUUACUGGGCGUAAAGUGUGCGCAGGCGGCCGCGCAAGUCGAGUGUGAAAUCCCCGGGCUCAACCCGGGAACUGCGUCCGAUACUGGAAGGCUUGAAUCCGGGAGAGGGAUGCGGAAUUCCAGGUGUAGCGGUGAAAUGCGUAGAUAUCAGGAGGAACACCAGUGGCGAAGGCGCCGCUCUGGGCCGAGACUGACGCUGAGGAGCGAAAGCGUGGGUAGCAAACAGG
rnacentral:rRNA from 1 species